GCGUCGGGUUAGUCGGGCCUUAGCCGAGGCCGAAAGGCGUAGGCGAUGGACAUCCGGUUAAUAUUCCGGAACCACUCAAAUGGAGCGAUGAAGGGACGCGGCGUGGUAGGUCAGCCUCUUAACGGAUUGAGGUGCCAAACGCGUAGGACGUUGAUGGGUGUAGGCAAAUCCGCACCUGGAGUCCGAAACGUGAUGGCGGUGCCUUAGAGCCACAAGUGAUUGAGCCAUGCCGCCAAGAAAAGCUUCUAAGCGUUGAUAGCUAAGUGACCGUACCGCAAACCGACACUGGUAGGUGGGUAGAAUAUACCAAGGGGAUCGAGAGAACCUUCGUUAAGGAAUUAGGCAAAUUUCCCCCGUACGUUAGCAAUAAGGGGGGCCUCUGGUGGUUAGCUUAGGCAAAGCUGCUGGAGGCCGCAGAGAAAUGGCUCUUCCAACUGUUUAACAAAAACACAGGUCUCUGCUAAGUCGAAAGACGAAGUAUAGGGGCUGACGCCUGCCCAGUGCUGGAAGGUUAAGGGGAGAGGUUAGGGGUAACCCGAAGCUUUGAGCCGAAGCCCCAGUGAACGGCGGCCGUAACUAUAACGGUCCUAAGGUAGCGAAAUUCCUUGUCGGGUAAGUUCCGACCCGCACGAAUGGCGUAAUGAGAGGAGCACUGUCUCAACGAGGGACUCGGCGAACAUUGAAGGACGUGUGAAGAUACACGUGACCCGCAGCGGGACAAAAAGACCCCGUGAAGCUUUACUACAACUUGCCAUUGAGUUAGGGCUAAACCUGUGUAGCAUAGGUGGGAGGCUUUGAAGCUGGGACGCCAGUCUCGGUGGAGCCACCGUUGAAAUACCACCCUGGUUUAUUCUUGGCUCUAACCUGUCGCCGUUAUCCGGCAUGGGAACAGUGGCUGGUGGGUAGUUUGACUGGGGCGGUCGCCUCCUAAAGAGUAACAGAGGCGCCCAAAGGUUCCCUCAGGCUGAAUGGAAACCAGCCGUUGAGUGUAAAGGCACAAGGGAGCUUGACUGCAAGACAGACGAGUCGCGCAGGUACGAAAGUAGGGCUUAGUGAUCCCACGGUUCAGAGUGGAAUGGCCGUGGCUUACCGGAUAAAAGCUACUCCGGGGAUAACAGGGUAGUCUGGUCCAAGAGUUCAUAUCGACGACCAGGUUCGCCACCUCGAUGUCGGCUCAUCACAUCCUGGGGCUGGAUAGGGUCCCAAGGGUUGGGCUGUUCGCCCAUUAAAGUGGUACGUGAGCUGGGUUCAGACCGUCGUGAGACAGGUCGGUCUCUAUCCGCUGUGGGCGCAAGGGAUUUGAGAGAAGCUGUCCCUAGUACGAGAGGACCGGGAUGGACAGACCUCUAGUGUGCCAGUUGUUCCGCCAGGGGCAUUGCUGGGUAGCUACGUCUGGCAGAGAUAACCGCUGAAAGCAUCUAAGUGGGAAACUCGUCUCAAGAUUAGAUCCCUCAUCCGUAUGGAGUAAGACCGCUAGAAGACUACUAGUUUGAUAGGCGGCAGGUGUACGCAUAGCAAUAUGUUCAGCCAAGCCGUACUAAUGGUCGAGGGCUUACGUUA
rnacentral:rRNA from 1 species